UCAAAGUUACCUAUUUUUUGGGUUAAAUUUGCUCACUGGAAAGUUUAUACAUGGGCAACCCAAAAUUAGGUAGAAAUUUGAACAUGGCGAUUACCCAUAAUUUGAGUUGGUCGCUGUGAACUUCGUGUUGGGUAGGAAUUGAAUAAUGACGUCUACUCAAAUUCAAGUUCAUCGCUUUGUACUUAUAUUUUGGGUAGUCCAUUUCAAACAAAGUAGUAGGUAAUGUUUUUGACAGCCAUUGUUAUUGUUGUGAAUCAAAUUGCAUGAAGUGGCUCUGGAAAAGAAUGCCUAGAAACUUAGGAUAAAGCAAUUAGCGCUGGAUCUAAAACAUGAGUCGAUGAUGAUCGAGUUGCACUUUUUGUUGCCAACGAACGGAAAACAAAUAAAUAAUUGAAGAAAUUUUUCUCCUCAAAAUAUUUGAUUAUUUCUGCUGCCUCUGCACUCCUUGCUGUCGUUCGAUUCCGUUCACGUGGCUUCAACGUGCUGCCUCGUGGAUCGGCAACUCGUUGGUAGCGAGCCGCGUGGCUUGUUUCGAUAUUCCACCUGUUGCUAUGGGUCUUGGUUGCGUUUAGAUGACCUCGCAUCUGCGUGGUGACUUCAGGAAACUAUUCAGUCAUGUCAAACUGAGGCUUCCAAUAGUCAACACCGGUGAAACAACGUCAUCUCGGUUAUUGACUUCAGAUACAUCGAGCAAUACGGAACAUUUGAACAAGACUGUAGCUUACCCGAGCUCCGAGCCACUACAAUUCCAUUUGACUUUAGUCAUACCGGCUGGAAUAUAAUAUAGAAUUCUGGCUGUCUAAGAGACAAGUAUUUUAAUUGUGCAUUCAUUUUUUUUUGUUUUUUGUUGAUGAUUAAUUCAUUUCAAAUAUAUUUGUAGCUGGGACUGUGGCCACAUUUGCAAUUAUGGUGCCACUGACAUAUGAGCAAGCGUAUGGGGGAUAGACCACUAGUGAAUAAUUGUUCUUAAACCUGAGGGGUAACCACCCAUAUUGAUGGUGGUUUUAAGUGUUUUGUUACCAGCCGCCAUCUUGGAUUUCAAAAUGACGCCAAUCAUCAAUUUUCACUUUCUACUAAUUA